rnacentral:rRNA from 1 species
UACGGGGGGGGCAAGCGUUGUUCGGAAUUACUGGGCGUAAAGGGCGCGUAGGCGGCCUUCUAAGUCGGAUGUGAAAUCCCUCGGCUCAACCGAGGAACUGCAUCCGAUACUGGAUGGCUUGAAUCCGGGAGAGGGAUGCAGAAUUCCAGGUGUAGAGGUGAAAUGCGUAGAUAUCUGGAGGAAUACCGGUGGCGAAGGCGGCAUCCUGGACCGGCAUUGACGCUGAUGAGCGAAAGCUAGGGGAGCAAACGGG